CGAUAAAGCGGGUGAAAAGCCCGCUCGCCGGAAGACCAAGGGUUCCUGUCCAACGUUAAUCGGGGCAGGGUGAGUCGACCCCUAAGGCGAGGCCGAAAGGCGUAGUCGAUGGGAAACGGGUUAAUAUUCCCGUACUUGGUGUUACUGCGAAGGGGGGACGGAGAAGGCUAUGUUGGCCGGGCGACGGUUGUCCCGGUUUAAGCGUGUAGGUGUGUGUUCCAGGUAAAUCCGGUCCACUUUAACACUGAGGCGUGAUGACGAGGCACUACGGUGCUGAAGCAACAAAUGCCCUGCUUCCAGGAAAAGCCUCUAAGCAUCAGGUAACAUCAAAUCGUACCCCAAACCGACACAGGUGGUCAGGUAGAGAAUACCAAGGCGCUUGAGAGAACUCGGGUGAAGGAACUAGGCAAAAUGGUGCCGUAA
rnacentral:rRNA from 1 species